rnacentral:rRNA from 1 species
UACGAAGGGGGCUAGCGUUGCUCGGAAUCACUGGGCGUAAAGCGCACGUAGGCGGCUUUUUAAGUCAGAGGUGAAAUCCUGGAGCUCAACUCCAGAACUGCCUUUGAUACUGAGAGGCUUGAGUCCGGGAGAGGUGAGUGGAACUGCGAGUGUAGAGGUGAAAUUCAUAGAUAUUCGCAAGAACACCAGUGGCGAAGGCGGCUCACUGGCCCGGUACUGACGCUGAGGUGCGAAAGCGUGGGGAGCAAACAGG